rnacentral:misc_RNA from 1 species
CCUGAACAAUGGAUACAAGUAUGGAACUUGCCGUUAGUUGUUAUUGUUUUCAUGAGCGUGUGGGUUUUCUUUGGCAAAAUUUUGGUUGAGCCAUGUAAUCUUGACACCAAAAGAAUUUUGUUUGUGGUAUGCUGUAACUGGCCUUUCAUUGACACACUGGUUUGACCCUUGGCAGUUUGAAUUUCAUAUUUUAUGAAUCUCUUUUUUAAAUGUUUUUCCUUUUAAUAUUUCUUUUCUUCUGGAAAGUCAUCAAAUCUUUUGUUUUCAAAAAAGAUAUUUAGGAUCAUUUUUUUCCACAUUGAGUGGGCCAUCUGGAUUCCUUUUCCUUCCACUGAUCAUAGGUUUCUGUUGUGAUAGG